UGGGGAAUAUUGGACAAUGGGGGCAACCCUGAUCCAGCCAUGCCGCGUGCGUGAAGAAGGCCUUAGGGUUGUAAAGCGCUUUUGUCAGGGAAGAUAAUGACUGUACCUGAAGAAUAAGCCCCGGCUAACUCCGUGCCAGCAGCCGCGGUAAGACGGAGGGGGCUAGCGUUGUUCGGAAUUACUGGGCGUAAAGGGCGCGUAGGCGGCCGAGUGUGUCAAGGGUGAAAUCCCAAGGCUUAACCUUGGAACUGCUCUUGAAACUGCUUGGCUAGAGUGAGUGAGAGGCGGACGGAAUUCCGAGUGUAGCAGUGAAAUGCGUAGAUAUUCGGAGGAACAUCGGUGGCGAAGGCGGUUCGCUGGUGCUCAACUGACGCUGAGGCGCGAA
rnacentral:rRNA from 1 species